AAGGGAGAAUCUUGCCUGACAAAUCUAUUGGAAUUCUUUGAGGAAAUAACAGGCAAGAUAGAGAAAGAAAAGUCAGUGGAUAUUGUUUACCUGGAUUUUCAGAAGGCCUUUGACAAGGUUCUACAAAUGCUGUUGCUAAGCCAGAUAGCAGGCCAUGGUAUUACAUAAAAAAUACUAACACAUAUAGAAUAUUGGCUGAUUGGCAAAAGGCAAAGUGUGCGAAUAAAGAGGACCUUUUCCGGCUGUUCUGUAGGCGUCCUUGCUUCAGGUAUCCCGUUGCUGUUGGUGAUAUGAUAAUCACUGAGAGAAUGUAUGGCAAUGCUGGCAAGGCUAGCAUUUACGUCCCUUCUCUGAAUGCCCUAGGAUGUCUCAAAGGUUGCCAGCUCUCAUGGAUAUUCAUCUACUACCUGCAUCGCCCCCAAAAAAUUCACCUGGUUGGAGCAUGAAUCAUUCACUUGUUUUGUGCUUUUAUGCUGUUUUUAUUGAAUUAACAUUAAUGCUUUGAUAAAUUUUUGAAAUCUAGAUCCCUGGUUGCAUUGCAUUCUGCCCCACACCAGGCAUUCACUAUCUUCUGGGAUAUCCCCAUUUGUACUUCAUCUUUGUGGUUCUGUGACUCCCAGCAUCCUGCUGCUCACAGGGCGUAGCUAUUAAAUCCGAUGGGAUGAGCAAUAGGUGGCAUGCAGGCCCUGCCCACAAAGAAUCCUGAAGUUUUCCAACAAAUUGUGUUGCUUUACAACCCUUGCACUUCCUAUGUACUGUAUCUCUGGUGAUCAAAUGCUUUGGAAGCAAUAGAAGAAACAUUGUCAUGAUUUAAACAAAUAAACAUUUCAGUGAAAGACUGAAAAAUAUGAUAUUUAUUUGGCUGCACAUUCAACUUAUGUAAAUUAGCUGGUACAUUGUUGUUAAUUAAAUUGAAAAUUGCCUUCGGGGGCUUCUCUCUGCUGAAUGUUGGUGACCUCUUUUGGAUGAAUGGAGCCAGGUAUGGA